GCAUUAAUGGGGUAGUGGUAACCUGGGUCGUUGCCAUGAUGUCGUAACAGCGUCGUCUUUCGACCCGCCGGGGGUUCGAUUCCCCCUUAAUGCA